rnacentral:tRNA from 1 species
AGUUUCGUAGUUGAACCACAACGUUGGCUCUUCAAGCCAAAAGUCCCAUUAAACUAGGGCGAAGCUA